AAUCCCAGCUCCGGGUUUUAAAGGAAGCGAUGGGCCUGGUGUCUGGAAGCGCGAGCACAUCCGGACAGCGAACGGGAGGUCCGGCAGGAGCGGGCAAAUGCGUGUGCGGAGCUCGUGCUUCGCUCCUGGUGUGGCGCCUUCGGGGCCAGCGGGGCGGGUGGGAGACCUCAGACCCGAGGAAGCUCCUCGCGGCGGGGCCAGUGCUUCGGCCGAGCGAGCGCACAGGACCCUCCAGGCGCCUCCAGGCUGCGAGCUCACCCCCUUCCCUUACACCCGCCCCACCUCCCUGCACCCUGUCGCUCAGCGGCCGGUGAGCGGCCCGGGAACCGGGAGGCCGGGAGGAGGGCGCCCCAGAAGAUGCUGUCCUUUUGGCAACUGGUCCCGGGAUGCUGGCUGGCGGACGGCCUGUCAGCUCCGGGGAAGCAGGACCCGUUCACAGGCCGGCCCACCCCUGCCACUCCCGGUUGUUUCCAGGUCCAGAGAGCAACAUGAAAGGCAUCCGGUUACCCUGACGUGAGUCAGCUGAGCACAGUUGGGGCUUCUUCCCCGGUGCAUGAGGUGGCUGGGGGUGGGGCCCGUGGGGCAGGGACGCGAGAGAAAAGGAUCUAGACUUUGGAAGAGGAAGAGAUGUUGGGGUGCUUCUGACCAACUUCCUAAUCACCCUAAGACAAGAAAGCGGGGGCGGGGCGGGGAAUAGCCAGAACCGGUUUGGCUCAGUGGAUAGAGCGUCGGCCUGCGGACUGAAGGGUCCCAGGUUUGAUUCCGGUCAGGGGCAUGUACCUGGGUUGCGGGCACAUCCCCAGUGGGAGAUGUGCAGGAGGCAGCUGAUCGAUGUUUCUCACUCAUCGAUGUUUCUAACUCUCUAUCUCUCUCCCUUCCUCUCUGUAAAAAAAUCAAUAAAAUAUAUUUAAAAAAAAAAAAAAAAAAAAAAAAAAAAAAAAAAAAAAAAAAAAACAAUACAGAA